GUCCUCUCUACCCUUGCUCCCUUAUUUGGUGGGUGAGGCAUUUUAACGCUGCAGGGAUUUCUCUCCUGCUCAGUGAAGAGCUUGCUGUCAGACAGUGCACAUCCCACUGGCCUGUACUGUCUAAACAUGGCCGAAAACAAGACUGAAGCAGCAAAUGAGGAAGUUGACAGUAAGGACAAAGUAGAGGGCAAAGAAAAUGCUGAAGUCGUCGACCUGGGGCCUUUUGAAAUCGUCAUCGGACAGCAAAUACCUUCUAUUUUCUUCAAGUUCCAGUUCAAAAACGUAGAAUACAGCUCGGGAAGGAAUAAGACAUUUUUGUGCUAUUCAGUGGAACAGCAAGGUGCAGAUUGCCAGAAGAUGCAAGGAUACGUGGAGGACGAGCACACAAGUACGCAUGCAGAAGAGGCCUUCUUUGCAGAGGUCUUCAAGGAAUGCAAUGGCAGUUUGAAGUACUCCAUCACUUGGCACGUCUCCUCCAGCCCUUGUGCAGCCUGCGCUUCCAAAAUUGCAGAAUUCCUGAAGAAGAGUCCCAACGUCCGCCUCACCAUCUUCAUGGCUCGCUUGUUCAUGUGGGAAGAGCCUGAGAUCCAACAAGGUCUUCAGCUGCUGAAAGCUGCUGGUUGCCGAUUGAAGAUCAUGAAGGCUCCCGAGUAUAACUACUGCUGGAGCACUUACGUUGAAAAUGAAGGGGAAUCUUUUGUACCCUGGGAAGACCUACAGCCCAGCAGCUUGGCAUAUGAAGGGAUUCUAAAUGAAAUUCUACAACGUGCCUAGAAGGGUGAGGCAUUCUGACGUGUCCCCAAAUUUGGUGGUUCCCACUGCCUGAUGUUUUUAUUGCCUCAUUGUAUGUUUGCUGUGAGCACUUAUUAGUUUUUAUUGAUUUACACAUGGGAAGGAAAGAAUAUUGCGUGCUGUUAAAGCCAAACACUUCAAUAACUCCACACAACACAGCGAGCAUCAGUGAAGAAGCUAAGGUUAUUUAUUCACUCGGACAGAACUGAAAGGAAUUUGCUUUUACUUCUGGAAAUGCAUCAAGUUUCUUGAACACGUACUUAAUGUCUUGAACUCGAGUUCUUUGGUAGCAGUUACUGUGAAAUGUCCCAAUCGAAAUGAAGCUCCAAGCUACUUACUAUGGUUUUAAAUACUGGACUGCCUGAAGCCUGCAAGAAGGUUUCAUGUUAAUAAAAUGCAAUACUUUGUGUAGAGAAUACCAGUGUCAUGUAGGACACGUCAGUGUGCCCUAUUCAGUAUUCACUGCUGCUUUAUGCUUUACAAUAAAACACUGUGUACCCUUUAGCUGUUUAGUUCUUUCAUUUCAGGUCUGUCAGCAUCUCAUCUCCUACCUCACACCAUUUACAACUGAAACUUCUGGAUUCACCUUCAGGGUUUCUGGUAGUUUUUUUAUUUCUAUCCCAAGACUUAUCUAUCACAAGAUGUUUAAUCAUGAAAAUUAUCAUAAACAAAUUGAUUAACUUUUAAACAGCUCUUCAAAUAACUGGAACACAACACAUACUGAUAUGCAGCAAUUUACUGACAAAUCAGUUUAUUUUAAGUGGCACAUCCAGGUGUUAUCUUGUGCACCAAUUGACCAAUUUAUGAAAGGGUCACUUCUACCACGUAUAUUGCUGCUAAAAGCAAUGUAGAUCUGUUAUGGAAAGACAGCUGUAAGAAUCAUUCUCACUUGAACAUGCUCACAGUCAAUCAUACCACACUUCACUCCAAGUGCAAGUCAACUAUCAAACACCUGUUUACACCAAGCAUGUUUUAUUCCUUUUAAACUCCCAACAACUCUGCCUAAAUUCUACUACUCCACCACACACUAAUGGAAAUUUUCAUUUCUUUGUUAUAUUCUGUGUCGCAUGACGUGGGUAAUCAUGGUCUUGCCAAGAACAAUCAUGGUCAUGGAAAAUUUUGCUACAGAAGUGGUCUCACGGAUAAAGGAGGUUACAUUAAAGCAGAGGGGAGGUUGCCAGUGUGAUUCCUGCUGAUAGUGGAAAGGGGCAUGUGGGAUCACAUUAAAUCUGGUGGAAGUGAUGAAGAAUGAUGUGCUGGAUGCCGAGGCUGAUGGGGUAUACAGACCGAGAGAACUCUACCCCUAUUGUAUGUUAGGGAGGCUAAGAAUGGGUGGGGGGAAUGGAAGAGAGGCGUGGCAUCCCAGCAAAGGACAGAGUGGGAGAUGUAAUCUAGGUCACUAUGGGAGUCAAUAAGUUUGUAGUAAAUGCUUUGGAUAGUUUGUCUCAAGAUGGAGACAGAUCAGGAAAGGAGAGGCAUCUGAAAAGUCCCAGUAAUCUUGAGGACAGGUGCAAGUUAACAGAGAAGUUGAUGAAAUUAAUGAGUUCUGCACAGCUG